AGUGGCGAACGGGUGAGUAAUGUAUCGGAACGUGCCUAGUAGCGGGGGAUAACUACGCGAAAGCGUAGCUAAUACCGCAUACGCCCUACGGGGGAAAGCAGGGGAUCGCAAGACCUUGCACUAUUAGAGCGGCCGAUAUCGGAUUAGCUAGUUGGUGGGGUAACGGCUCACCAAGGCGACGAUCCGUAGCUGGUUUGAGAGGACGACCAGCCACACUGGGACUGAGACACGGCCCAGACUCC
rnacentral:rRNA from 1 species